CUUUAUAAAAACAAUGAAGUUUGAAUUUUGAAAUGCUACCAUUCACACGUUGAAGUGCGCACUUUUUUAGUACUGGUAUCUUCAAUUUCUCUUACCUCGUCCUCUCCAACUUUUAACUAUCGUUGCUCACGUCGUGUUAAAGAAGGCUUUCUCGACGUCAAACGGUCCAUGUGUGGCUAUGUUAUUCACAACUCAGAUGAUGUGAUCUCACAUAUGCAAAGGUGCCCAGGGCCCCAGACUGUUUGGCGCCACCAGCAGGAAGCACAAGGUACUUGUGUUGAGAAAGCGUCAGCAUGGGCUUCCCAGCAUGCCUUGAGGUGGUGUUGAUCACGUUAAUGAGGUAGUGGUUGGCUUUGACGGCCCUCUCUUCUUUAGUGCUGUAUGGUGAGUGUCUGCUAAGCUCCUAUGAGCAAACAAAA